ACGCUCGACACCUACGGGGGCAGCAGUCGGGAAUAUUGCGCAAUGGAGGAAACUCUGACGCAGUGACGCCGCGUGCAGGAAGAAGGUUUUCGGAUUGUAAACUGCUUUAGACAGGGAAGAAAGAAAUGACAGUACCUGUAGAAUAAGCUCCGGCUAACUACGUGCCAGCAGCCGACGGUAAUCUGAGGCCGGGCGUGGACGAAGGC
rnacentral:rRNA from 1 species